GUAGAAUGUGUGAGAAACGAAGAAGUAUGAGUCCUCCAACUUCUUUUUCAAGGUUGUUUUGGCUACUCAGAGACCCUUGAAAUUCCAUAUGCAUUUUAGAGUCACAUCAUCAAUUUCUGCAAAACAACCAACUGGUAUGACACAUCUAGAAGUAACAGUGGCUAUUGUGUGGAGAAUAUGUUACAGAGAAACCAGAUUUUCUUAUUCAAGCAAGCACAACGGGGUUUGUUCUCUCUCUGCCUGCUCUCGCUUUUGAAAAUGCCCAUCACCUGAUGAACUGCAACUAUGAAUGAAGAUGCUUAUUAAAUAAAGUAAUAUAUAUU
rnacentral:lncRNA from 1 species